rnacentral:rRNA from 1 species
UGGGGAAUAUUGGACAAUGGGCGAAAGCCUGAUCCAGCCAUGCCGCGUGUGUGAAGAAGGCCUUUUGGUUGUAAAGCACUUUAAGUGGGGAGGAAAAGCCUAUGGUUAAUACCCAUAAGCCCUGACGUUACCCACAGAAUAAGCACCGGCUAACUCUGUGCCAGCAGCCGCGGUAAUACAGAGGGUGCAAGCGUUAAUCGGAAUUACUGGGCGUAAAGCGAGCGUAGGUGGUCAUUUAAGUCAGAUGUGAAAGCCCCGGGCUUAACCUGGGAACUGCAUCUGAUACUGGAUGACUAGAGUAGGUGAGAGGGAAGUAGAAUUCCAGGCGUAGCGGUGAAAUGCGUAGAGAUCUGGAGGAAUACCGAUGGCGAAGGCAGCUUCCUGGCAUCAUACUGACACUGAGGUUCGAAAGCGUGGGUAGCAAACAGGAUUAGAUACCCUGGUAGUCCACGCCGUAAACGAUGUCUACCAGUCGUUGGGUCUUUUAAAGACUUAGUGACGCAGUUAACGCAAUAAGUAGACCGCCUGGGGAGUACGGCCGCAAGGUUA